AUGGCUAAAUAUUGGUGGGGAAGCUCCCUCGACAAAAGAUCUCUGCACUGGAUGUCCUGAGACAAACUGACCGUGCCAAAGUCUAAGGGGGGCAUGGGUUUUUGGGACCCUCAAGUGUUCAAUCUCGCCAUGCUUGGCAAACAGGGCUGGCGACUGCUGACAAACCCGGACUCCUUGUGUGCUCGGGUGUUAAAAGGAAGAUACUUCCCGUAGACUGAUUUCCUUCAUGCUACGGCGCCGAUCCGGGCUUCCGCUACAUGGAAGGCGAUCGUGGCUGGGCGGAAGGCGUUGGAAGAAGGCUUGAUUCACAAGGUUGGCGAUGGCACCACGAUCUCAAUAUGGACAGACCCGUGGAUACUAACUACAACAUCACUGAAACCUAGUGACCGCAUUGGAGAUGCUCCGCUCACAAAAGUUUCAGAGUUGAUUGAUGUUUACACAGGAAGGUGGAAUGUGGAUUUAAUCCGCCAAAACUUCACUCCCCCCGACGCGGCAGUAAUACUGAAUAUCCCUUUGAGGGUGGCGGGCGGUGAGGACAUUUUGGCAUGGGCUUUGAAAAGGUCAGGACACUAUACUGUCAAAUCGGCAUACCGAUCUCUUAUGACUCGCAGAUUUCCUCCGCACUAG
rnacentral:rRNA from 1 species